UGUUCCUCUCUAACCAAAUACACCAAAAAAUACAAGCAGGUAUCAUAAUCCAGAUCUUCUUGAUGACUUUGUCAACUUUCCAUAGACUCCAAUUCUCAUAUGCAUCCUUAACAGCACAAUAUAAGCUGAGCUAAUGAGUUAGUAAAAUCCUGAAGUUGUUCUGCAUUAACAGCAUGAUACAAGUUGGUCCAACUAAACAAAUUUUCAGUGCACCUAGUCUUCAAAAUGCCUAAAGCAGUUGACUCUCCAUCAAAACAUCUCUUGUUCCUCUCUAACCAAAUACACCAAAAAAUACAAGCAGGUAUCAUAAUCCAGAUCUUCUUGAUGACUUUGUCAACUUUCCAUAGACUCCAAUUCUCAUAUGCAUCCUUAACAGCACAAUAUAAGCUGAGCUAAUGAGUUAGUAAAAUCCUGAAGUUGUUCUGCAUUAACAGCAUGAUACAAGUUGGUCCAACUAAACAAAUUUUCAGUGCACCUAGUCUUCAAAAUGCCUAAAGCAGUUGACUCUCCAUCAAAACAUCUCUUGUUCCUCUCUAACCAAAUACACCAAAAAAUACAAGCAGGUAUCAUAAUCCAGAUCUUCUUGAUGGCUUUGUCAACUUUCCAUAGACUCCAAUUCUCAUAUGCAUCCUUAACAGCACAAUAUAAGCUGAGCUAAUGAGUUAGUAAAAUCCUGAAGUUGUUCUGCAUUAACAGCAUGAUACAAGUUGGUCCAACUAAACAAAUUUUCAGUGCACCUAGUCUUCAAAAUGCCUAAAGCAGUUGACUCUCCAUCAAAACAUCUCUUGUUCCUCUCUAACCAAAUACACCAAAAAAUACAAGCAGGUAUCAUAAUCCAGAUCUUCUUGAUGGCUUUGUCAACUUUCCAUAGACUCCAAUUCUCAUAUGCAUCCUUAACAGCACAAUAUAAGCUGAGCUAAUGAGUUAGUAAAAUCCUGAAGUUGUUCUGCAUUAACAGCAUGAUACAAGUUGGUCCAACUAAACAAAUUUUCAGUGCACCUAGUCUUCAAAAUGCCUAAAGCAGUUGACUCUCCAUCAAAACAUCUCUUGUUCCUCUCUAACCAAAUACACCAAAAAAUACAAGCAGGUAUCAUAAUCCAGAUCUUCUUGAUGGCUUUGUCAACUUUCCAUAGACUCCAAUUCUCAUAUGCAUCCUUAACAGCACAAUAUAAGCUGAGCUAAUGAGUUAGUAAAAUCCUGAAGUUGUUCUGCAUUAACAGCAUGAUACAAGUUGGUCCAACUAAACAAAUUUUCAGUGCACCUAGUCUUCAAAAUGCCUAAAGCAGUUGACUCUCCAUCAAAACAUCUCUUGUUCCUCUCUAACCAAAUACACCAAAAAAUACAAGCAGGUAUCAUAAUCCAGAUCUUCUUGAUGGCUUUGUCAACUUUCCAUAGACUCCAACUCUCAUAUGCAUCCUUAACAGUGAGGGGUGUGGUCCAAUUGAUGCCAGAGAGACCAAAAAACAUGCUCCAUAAUUCUGAGGCCACCUCACAAUGAAGAAGAAGGUGUCUAGGGGUUUCAGCCUCUUUUUUGCACAUAUAGCAUCUGUUUGGGAAUUGGAUUUUUCUUUUCUUUAUGUUGUCUUGGGUGAGACAUGCCUCAUAUAGAGCUAUCCAGGUAAAAAAAACUACCUUAGGUGGUAGCUUGGUCCUCCAAAUGAGUUUCCAGGGCCAGUUAGCUAUCACGGGGUUUCUAGAGCACAACUGUUGAUACCCUUCCUUGACUGUAUAAACUCCUUUCUGGUGUCCCCAUUUGAGCUUAUCAGCUGCCUGGAGAUUAAUGUGACAAUGUUGUAGUCUAGCAAAAAGGUCUACCAGAUCAUUCACUUCCCAAUCGUGCAUAUUUCUUCUAAAUCUUAGAUCCCAAUUGAUCCCUUCUCUAUUAGCAGAAAUAAUAGAAU
rnacentral:lncRNA from 1 species